UUCGAUAAUAAUAGAAUGUAUUCCAGAAAGUAGCAAGUCUUCCUAUUCGCUUUUCCUUAUCGAUGAAGUAAAAGGUGAAGGAGAACGCCAGUCCCUACUCGUCAUAUUCCCCAGCUCAAAUCUGGGCCAACUCGAUCCGCGUCCACCUAGCACCAGCGGCAGGGCAGCCGCUCUUCCGGCCCCAAAAUCAGUCCUCCUCGCACGCAUUAGCACACAACGAUCUCUUUUUCUUUGGAAUCCUCCGCCGCACUCCAAAUCCAAGCUAUUUUUCCUACAGAACUUUUGAUUGCAGAUCUAUCUACUCUACUCACUCCUUUUCCUCUGUCUCGCUCCAACUGCUUUGUGAUUUCAAAUCCCUGAGUAAGUGCCUCUCUCAGAGGGCCCAUUGAAGCAGCCUUCACUAAGUUCUUCAUAAUUAUCAUUGAGUUACGAGAUAUAUUUAGGCAAUUAUACUCGAAAGUGCUUACUGUAGCAGAUUGUGAAACUUUGGAGGACCGUAC